AAUUAUCACCCGUACAACACAACCUAAAGCUAGCUUAAAAAAAAAAACAAAAAAACAACACAACAAAACAUGACAAAGAGAUGUGAUUACAAAAACCUUUUCAUUUUCUGCACCAAAGAUCUGAAACAUGUGGAAAUGAAACUUUCACCAAGUUCUCAUAUAUCACGAACAGAUCUAUAAUUGACAAGCUAUUAUAAUUAUUUAUAUUUUAUUAAAAUCAACUCAUGAUUAAACUGACCGCGUUCAAAAAUGCAUUAUUUAUUAGUUUGUAUUAUUCAUUAUUAUGUUAUUUGUAAUAAAAACUGCCGUGUCAAUUGAACCAACCGUGUUGAUAGUUAAAGAUAGUAGUGAGUCUUUUCAUAUCGGUGAGCUGAGUAACAAUCUGGCAACCCAGUCUGGGAACGCGCAGGCGCAAUGCAUUUUAACGUGAGCGCCGCUGACUUUGGUCAUGACCGAUGAAUUAUUGACGUUUCUCAGAUAUGACGCAGGCUAAACAAGCAGCCGACGUCAUGGACUCGUGUCAAUGUGUAUGCUUCACAUGUUAAAAACACUUAUGCAGCAGAGGGCUCUAAAUAUGACAAUCCGGCCUUUAUCAGAACUCCAGCAUGGUGUGGAAAAUGAUGCAGUUUCACAAAACAAACUAUGACCUACACACAUGGGCACAAUGGACCUCUGAAGCCACAUGCAUAGGAUUUGUUUACCUGGUUAUGUAUUAGAAUCAGCCUCGACUGCAACUGCAUCUGUCCCAGCCGCCUACCGUAUGACAGAUUACUUUUCCGAAGGUGCCGCCUGGAUUGGCUCACGUGCAGCUGAUGGGUGAGCUAAACUAGCAGCUCACAGUGUGAGAAAAAGAAUGAGAAGGACCCAAAACACAGUGCUGGUAAUGUUUAAUGACAGUUAUGAGUGGUUAUGUGCGUGUGUUUUUGUAGGACACUGAAUUCACUGAAUGUGAUGUCCUGACUCUUUCUUAAGAAAAUAGUAAUAAAAUAAAACUUUAGUGGUAGUGCUUUUGAAAAUAAAAAAGAAU